rnacentral:rRNA from 2 species
GAGUGUUUAAAGCAGGCAUUUUGCUUGAAUACAUUAGCAUGGAAUAAUAAAAUAGGACGGCAUGAUUCUAUUUUGUUGGUUUCUAGGAUCACCGUAAUGAUUAAUAGGGACAGUCGGGGGCAUCAGUAUUCAAUUGUCAGAGGUGAAAUUCUUGGAUUUAUUGAAGACUAACUACUGCGAAAGCAUUUGCCAAGGAUGUUUUCAUUAAUCAGGAACGAAAGUUAGGGGAUCGAAGACGAUCAGAUACCGUCGUAGUCUUAACCAUAAACUAUGCCGACUAGGGAUCGGACGAUGUUAUUUUUUGACUCGUUCGGCGCCUUACGGGAAAC